UACGUAGGGGGCAAGCGUUGUCCGGAAUCAUUGGGCGUAAAGAGCGUGUAGGCGGCCAGAAAAGUCCGCUGUGAAAACUCGAGGCUCAACUUCGAGCUGUCGGUGGAAACUUUCUGGCUAGAGUCCGGAAGAGGAGAAUGGAAUUCCAGGUGUAGCGGUGAAAUGCGUAGAUAUCUGGAGGAACACCGGUGGCGAAGGCGGCAUCCUGGACCAACACUGACGCUGAGUGAGCGAAAGCCAGGGGAGCAAACGGG
rnacentral:rRNA from 1 species